UACGGGGGGGGCAAGCGUUGUUCGGAAUUACUGGGCGUAAAGGGCUCGUAGGCGGCCAACUAAGUCAGACGUGAAAUCCCCCGGCUUAACCGGGGAACUGCGUCUGAUACUGGAUGGCUGGAGGUUGGGAGAGGGAUGCGGAAUUCCAGGUGUAGCGGUGAAAUGCGUAGAUAUGCGGAGGAACACCGAUGGCGAAGGCAAUCCCCUGGACCUGUACUGACGCUCAUGCACGAAAGCGUGGGGAGCAAACAGG
rnacentral:rRNA from 1 species